GCACAGUAUCAGCUUCUUAAUUGAAGGAGCCAACAUGCUCCCCCUGCUGGUUGAGGACAGCCAAUACACCUGUGUGCUGGAAAAUCACAGCCCCAUCUUUGGGUUCCUGGGAAGCCAUGGUAAGAAGAGCACCUACUAUGUGCUAGGAGACCAUGAUCUCCUGGUCUGAAGGAAGCCUGCUACCACCUUGUGAGCAUCACAAGAGACAAGGGACAAGGACCUGGGGCCACCAGCCAUGAAUUUCUCAAUCAGGAUGCAGAAGAUCCAAUCACCCCACAAAGCUUAAACGCCCUCAUCCCAGGCAGCAUCCUUUAUUUCUAGCCCCAGCUCAGGUGACCAUGAUCUUUGUCACCAAAGGUAGGGAGGGCACAGCUCUAUCAGUGAGCAGCUGUCAGGCUGCCAAUGUAUAGGUAAACGUGUAUUAUAUAAUCUGACUUCUGUAUCCCAUAGAUUCUUCCAUCUCUGUCAGA